rnacentral:rRNA from 1 species
UACGUAGGGGGCAAGCGUUGUCCGGAAUCAUUGGGCGUAAAGCGCGUGUAGGCGGCCCGGUAAGUCCGCUGUGAAAGUCCAGGGCUCAACCCUGGAAAGCCGGUGGAUACUGUCGGGCUAGAGUCCGGAAGAGGCGAGUGGAAUUCCUGGUGUAGCGGUGAAAUGCGCAGAUAUCAGGAGGAACACCAAUUGCGAAGGCAGCUCGCUGGGACGGCACUGACGCUGAGACGCGAAAGCGUGGGGAGCGAACAGG